rnacentral:rRNA from 1 species
GAUGAACGCUGGCGGCGUGCCUAACACAUGCAAGUCGAGCGAACGGACGAGAAGCUUGCUUCUCUGAUGUUAGCGGCGGACGGGUGAGUAACACGUGGAUAACCUACCUAUAAGACUGGGAUAACUUCGGGAAACCGGAGCUAAUACCGGAUAAUAUUUUGAACCGCAUGGUUCAAAAGUGAAAGACGGUCUUGCUGUCACUUAUAGAUGGAUCCGCGCUGCAUUAGCUAGUUGGUAAGGUGACGGCUUACCAAGGCAACGAUGCAUAGCCGACCUGAGAGGGUGAUCGGCCACACUGGAACUGAGACACGGUCCAGACUCCUACGGGAGGCAGCAGUAGGGAAUCUUCCGCAAUGGGCGAAAGCCUGACGGAGCAACGCCGCGUGAGUGAUGAAGGUCUUCGGAUCGUAAAACUCUGUUAUUAGGGAAGAACAUAUGUGUAAGUAACUGUGCACAUCUUGACGGUACCUAAUCAGAAAGCCACGGCUAACUACGUG